CCCACACAGGAGACAGAGGAAUCGACCCCGAGCUCCCAAACUCAGGGGUUUAUAUAGGGGAGUGCAGGGCUAUCUGAGAGGUGCCUGGUCCCAUGCUACACGGAAGUGAGACAUCCAGGUGACCACUGUGCUGACAAAGCUGGGAUCACAUUGCCAGUCCACCACUGGGAUCUACUCAGUAGUCACGAGAUUCCCCGAAGCUGGGCCUGCUGGGCUCUGUCAGCGUCCAGCAUCCAUCUACGAGCACCCAGGUGUCUCUGCAUCAUCGCCCUGUGAUGCUUCUAAAUCUCACUCACCAGGAUGCUCCUGCAGCAAGGAGGUCAGGCCUUCCAGAGGGCUGCCUGGGGCUUAAGUCGACGGUGGACUUCAUCACCACUACUUUACGGUACAUGCAGGUGCUGAACACCUUGACUUUUGGACACCGGUUUACUCAAGGCCGUCGAGGUUGAAAUGCACCUGUCUUAGCUGGAUGGUGGUGGCACAUGCUUUAGUCAGGAGGAAGAAGACAGGGAUCUCAGUUCUGGGAUAUCCUGGUCUACAGAGCUGUAGAUGUCCCGCUCUUGUCUUGCACCCCAGCCAAAUCCCAUUACCGACCUGAGGGCCAGGAACAGCAGUGUGUCUAUGCAACUUCCUCCAGGGACAUUUCCGGGCAGCCCAGGCCAUCUUCAGUGUUCCAUGAAUCCCAGUUUAAGAAAGAGCACGUGCGACCUGCCUGACUGGAAUUUGUGUGCAAGAAGAGACGGGGACAGAGACACAGACAGAACCUCACAGUGCAUGGACGUCAAGGAGUCAUCAGGAUGCGAGGCCAGAUCUCCAACCCAGGCUGGCCAGAGUCUCCGGGAAGUCCUCGUUGGUUUUGUCUGAUUAGCUAGCCUGUUCCAGAGGCUGAAGCCAGCACUGAAUCCAUGGAAUGAACUUCCCAGAGUUGUGCAUUAUGGGUUGGGGAACAUGGGGUCUAAUGGUGCCCUUCCUGCCUCUGAGAGGGAUAGGACACUCCUCUCUUCUCAAAUUAGACAGGAAAAAAAUGUCUGUCCUAAGAGAGCUUAGUGUUGCUCAGGGGACAGAGUAGAUAAGAAACAGGAAUGUGUUUCCCAGGGGCAGAAUACUACUGGGACAGGGUGUUGAACUCAGCAGAUAUCCCAGCAGGGUGACUAUGCCAGGAACCUUGUUGUCCUGUGUUCAAAUUAGGAG
ensembl:lncRNA